AGAGCGAAAUAUUUCCUACAAUGGACGGCAAGCCCUGAAUCCAGCCAUGCCGCGUGUGUGAUGAAGGCCUUCGGGUUGUAAAGCUCUUUUGUUCGGGAAGAAAAGGUCCUUUUUAAUACCUGGGGCCCCGGACCGGUCCGUGCCCGAAACCCCCGUCAUACUACGUGCCCCCCGCCCCUAUUAUUAAAAAAAAA
rnacentral:rRNA from 1 species